GAUGAACGCUAGCGGCAGGCCUAAUACAUGCAAGUCGAGGGGCAGCAAGACACUUCGGUGUUGUUGGCGACCGGCGCACGGGUGCGUAACACGUAUGCAAUCUACCUUAUACUGGGGAAUAGCUCCAAGAAAUUGGAAUUAAUACCCCAUAAUAUCUUUUUUUCGCAUGAAGAGAAGAUUAAAGCUUUGGCGGUAUAAGAUGAGCAUGCGGCUUAUUAGCUUGUUGGUGAGGUAACGGCUCACCAAGGCAAUGAUAAGUAGGGGUUCUGAGAGGAAGGUCCCCCACACUGGCACUGAGACACGGGCCAGACUCCUACGGGAGGCAGCAGUAGGGAAUAUUGGUCAAUGGGCGCAAGCCUGAACCAGCCAUGCCGCGUGCAGGAUGAAGGUCAUUUGAUUGUAAACUGCUUUUAUACAGGAGUAAAAGAUCUCUGCGGAGAUCCUUGAUAGUACUGUAAGAAUAAGCACCGGCUAACUCCG
rnacentral:rRNA from 1 species